CCCGACAUGUCUGCUAAAACCCAAGUGAAAACAUCCACAUUCUUUUGUAAAAAAUUGAUGAGCUGUGUCCGUACCUCUUCUCCCAGGUUGGAGUCGAUCUUCACCAUGUGCCCUUCAUUCCCAUCAUUCAAAGGAUUUGAGAUAAGAUCUUCAAUUGGCUCACCCUGUUCUUCAGUAAGGUCAUCGUGGGUGUCUAAUCCAUCAACCGACAGGGGUCAGACUGACCAUUUCUUUGUAAGGAUAUGUUGUAGCAGUGUCUUGCCAGGACUUGAUCUCCUCUGACCUCUCCGACCCCCUGGCUUGUAGGAAAUUUCAAUUUCAAAUGGUAGGUCGAUACCACAACUCAAAGGGCGUUGAGGUCAGGUCGGCCAAGUAUUGCGUUGUAGGCAGACGGCGCCCUUACUACCAGAAAAUCCACCUGCGCUCUAGAUUGUUUUGGGCACCGACCUGCAACUACGGUCAAAAUUAUUACUCCUUCCACUGACACAGCAUCGCCAGUGAACCC
rnacentral:lncRNA from 1 species